UUUUCAAGGCCGCCUUAUUUUCCCCCAAAUUUCCCUUCAGUUAUCCAUUGGUAUAUCCUUCAGUCAAAUUGAACAAUGCUGGUACCAUAAUACUUUUUCAUCAGCUUCCUCGUCGUGUCAAUUGAACGCUUCAUCAUCCAAGUAUUGAUUUCAAUUAUGCACUUGUGUGAUCGACUGUAGUUCGUCCACUAUAUGUCGACGUUGGGAACGACGGGAGUAGCGCUAGUGGUGGCGGAGUCAUACGCGAGGAUAUAUUUUGGGAAUUCAGUUACAACGGGAGAGAUUUAUCAGUUAGAAUCAGAUGUUAUGGUUUGUGUUGAGCGAAAAACUAGAGGUGUGGUGAUAGUUUAGCUUGAGCAUAGCCAUUUGGUUUAUCAUACGGCCAGGAAAGAGUAUCCGUUGAAGCCGAUUGGUGACGUUGGACCAAUGGUUGAAGAUUGUGGGAUUUUCGCUUAUGUUCGAAAAGCUCGGAUGAAUCCUGCUUAGCAACAUAAGUUACUGAUAAAAUUUAAUUGUUAAGAUAUUUUUGACCUCUAAAGUUGCAAAUUGUAUAUGUGAACGCACUCAUAUUGGUCGGAAUUUAGUUUAUAUUCGGGGAAUUUAGUUAAGAUAUCAUUAGUUAUAUUAUACAACGUUUAUGUUAAUUUAGCUUUUUAUCAUCGAGCGUUUGACCCUCGAUAUACUCUAACCAUCUAUUCCAUGUAUCAGCGUGUUCUUGAUGCCCUUUUCCCUUCGGUGCUCGUGGGACAUGUGCCAUUCCUGAUGCGUUUGGCUGGGGGAAAACAUGGGCGAUUGAAAUGUCUAACAAGCCUGGGAAGGAAGAGGCUAAACCUGCUUUUAAGGUUAAAACAUGCGAUCUGUAUAGCCUAUUUCCAGUUUUGACUCACUCUGACCUACGAGUAAAUGGUCAAUGCAAACGACACUUAUUGUAGAUAAUGUGCACCCUCACAUCCUUCCGUCCAUGAAUCCUAACGGGUUUUCAUUGAGGCGGUGUGGUAACGCAAACAAAGUUGAUCUCAAUCGUGAUUUUUCAGACCGGUUUUUUCAAAUGAAUGAUGAUCUCACAGAAAGACGACCUGAGACAAAAGCGACCAUGAAUUGGAUAAAAAAGAUACGUUUCACAGCCUCUGCUAGUCUUCAUGGGGGAGCACUUGUUGCAAAUUAUCCAUGGGAUGGGACCCAAGAUAAGAGGUCAGCAGCUUUUAACAAGCAAUAUUAUAUAUUUUAUAAUCCAUCGUUUUAAUUUCUUCACAUAAUUUCAAAUGUUUAUAGUAUUUUCAAUCUGCUAUUUUUACUGCAAACUUUCUUAUUAUGCAAGAUAAUGGAUUUACAUCAUACGAAACUUUUGUUAUGUGCUAUAUUUCAAAGCAUGGUUGAAUUGAUGGGGGCACAAGUUUUGAAACCGCUGAUUGCAACUAAGGGUGGCUUUUUUACCGAACAAGAUACUAAGAGCCUACCAUGUUUAUAGGUGAUGGCAAUUCCGAAAACCAGGGGUUGAGUAAGUCAGUUGGCUGAUGUAGCGACAAUAAGUAGUAAGUGUUGGGAACUAUGAUGUGGAAGUAUGACUACUAAGAAAACGUUAACACGAUGAUUAUUUAACUCGCAAGAAGAUUAUGAAAGAGAUUCAUGAAUACAAUGAAGUUUUGAGGAUAGGUGGAAAUGGGCCGCUGACUCAUCAGGAAUUUUUUCUGUCCGGGCCUUUAGAAAACAGAUGCGACCCAGUUCUGAUGUGGGCCAGGAGUCGGUGCAGUUAUGGAAUGGUUGGUGCCCGUUAAAGGUCAACUUUUUGACAUGGAGAUUACACUUGAAUCGGCUUCCUACAAGAGACUUACUAUCAAGGCGAAAUAUCCAGCUUGCAUCUUGUCUGUGUAGUAUGUGUGGUGAAUUUGUUGAGACAUCAGAUCAUUUAUUCGCUUCAUGUAGCUUUGCGCAGGUAAUUUGGGAUGAAAUCGCAAGAUGGUGUCGUAUUUCCUCGGCCUUCUUUUUUAGUGCAAAGGACAUCCUUCAACUUCAUACUCACUGUCGCGGGUCAAAAAGAUGGAAAAGAGCCUUAUAUACGGUAGUACAAACUACGAUUUGGUGUAUAUGGAGGGCACGAAAUGAGGCGGUUUUUGACAAUAAACGCCCAGUUGCGGAUAGGGUGGUGGAAGAGAUUAAAGUGAUGGGAUUUUUGUGGCUAAAGCAUAGGGCGAAGGCUAUCUCGCUUACGUGGGAUAACUGGUGUAUGUUUGAUUUGAUUUGAUUUGUAUGAAUGUGUAAUGCGCUUGGUGGCUGUAACAUUGGGUUAAUGUGUUGUUAACCUUGUGAUUAAUAAAAAUUUUUUGUUGGCCGAUCAAAA